CAAAUAAAUCCUUUAUAUAAAAAUACUCCUGGAGACAAAGAAAUGUGAUUAAAGUUCCACACAACAGUCACACAAAUUUUACAUUGGUAUAAAGCAGAGGCUACAUUUGUAUUACAAUAAAACAUCACAAGUUUCCAAGGGAAAUUUUAGACAACUCCAAGCCGUUUAUUUCAGGACUGAACAGUCUUAAAGAAAGUAGAAGGAACAUCACACAACAGGGCAAACCUAACAAACAUUCCUGCAGUCUUGGGUGGUAGAUGUUCACUAGGCUUUAAAUAUAUCUCUGUAUUUGAGAACUGCUAUGACAAAGUGCUGGGGAAAAAGCAGAAACAGAACACUCACUUUAGCAACUUACAUGGUCAGCAGGCUGGCUACCCAGAAGCCAGCCGGCUUCCACCUGGCUUUCAUUGAGUGUUGCUAGUUAUUGCUCAGGCCCACACACAGUAUGUUAGGAACAGAGGCCACAACACUGACUAGAACAGGACUUUGGCCCUCCCCUGGGGCCCACACAAAAGGGAACUGUAUUUCCAGGAGUCACUCUGUACUACAUUCUGAGGGGCAAGUGUCCAGCAGGCUACCCUUUCCUUUCUCUGUCAGGUAGGGCUGGGUUCUGCUAAGGAGACACUGGGCAGGACAAUGAACACCUCUCCACACUCCACGUUUUCAACUAGAAUUGUUUUCCUGUUUUGCUUUUCUAUUAACCUGAUUUUUUUUUUUUUUUUUUGGUGGGGGUUGAGCAGUUUAAAACAUCAAAGACACGGGUGACACUCAGAGAAAUAACUAGGUUAACUCCAUUUGAGUGACCUCAAGGCUUGUGACUGAGUGUUAACUUGUUCAGGUUGAUCACACUUGGUUCAUUUUUCUGGUUUCUGGGAAUUGGGAAGCACCAGUCCAUUUCAUUCCGCAGACAAUCACACAUGACAGCUACUCUGAGAAUGCUGACAUUUAAAGAGUAUUUCAACAGACUAUCAAAUGACAAUUGACUAUACCCUAGUCACCCACUUACGGCGUCUAGGAAACCAAACACCCCACAAAACCAAGUAAUGGCAUUUUAUAUUAAGACAAUGAAGAGGACUUAAGGCAUGUCAGAAAAGAAGUGGGUUAAUAACAGAAAAAAAAAAAAAAAGAAAAGCACUUCAAAGUCUUAAGUUAGAAAAACCUCUAGUAAUUAAAAUCUUUUCUGGUCACAAGAAAUUAAGGAAACUCUUAUAAAGCAGUAGCAAGUAACUUCUCUAUUAAGAGAACAGUCUAAUUGCACACAUAAUUCACAAGUUAGUCUUAAUUUGCCUGAUACUGAUAAAAAUUCCACCUUAUGCCAGUCAUGAAAUUUAACUGUGAGAUAUCAUCCAACGCCUGUCAGUUGAUUUCAUUAGGGUGAUAAAAGCCCUUCUUGCAUUCUAAUUCACCCUUCCCUCCUUUUUGGAAGGAAACAUUGAACAGCCAGAAAUGGUCAUAGCCAAAGGGCAGUAACCAAUUACCAAACUACAAUCACCACCAGGCCAGGUCUGAUUUCUAAUAGGAAAAUAUUUGCCUUGGAGAAAAAUCUUCAAUAAUGAGCUGGACAUUUUUGGAAGAGAAAACAAUUGUUAAGAAACCAUGACCAACAUACUGCAGACACAGGUCAGAUUCUUACAGACCAACUGGUGAAAUGAGAAUGCUUAGGACUGGGGUGGGGAGCUGGGGGGAUGGGAUGACAACUAAGAAGUGUGUCUAAAAAACCAGCUUGAUCAUUUUACUCUGCAUUCAUGGUGUCUGUCAUAAGAUAAUCAGUUGGCUCAUUAUAAACAUCAAAUUUGAGAAGUCAUAAAACUACAUUAGACGUACUUUAGGUGAUACACAUUAAAAUAAGGCACUGUGUCAGUAGUGGGGAGUCACACUGAUUUCCCACUGUUAAAGCCAGGAUUGUCAGUGUUUGUGGCUUAACACUGAGCAUCUCAAUACAUACACUAGAAACAUCUAGUCCAACUUUCUCUACAGGCAGGGAUAUCCUCAUGCUGGGAAAAGUUUAACUUAGUCAAAAAACUCUAACUUAGGCAAAAAAAAAACUCAAGAUGCUGGGAGUUUAAAAAAACAAAACAAAACAAAAAACCAAAACCAAGGCAGGAAAUGACUGUUCUUACCACCUGAUACAGGCAUCUUUUAAAUAGAAAUCUGACCAGGAAGCUUUUAAAUACCAUUUCCUUUUUUCAAAACACAGAGGGGAAAGGUAGCUGAUAUUUUAUGGUGACAUUCAACUUUCUGAUAAAAAUGUUUAUUAUGGAAUAUGAAAAAAAUAAGAACACAUACAGAAAAUAGGACCUCAAAAAGUUCAGUACAUUUUCAAAAUAAAUACAAAAAUAACUAUUGCUUGCUUUUUCAGGAAACCCCACAUUUAUUCAAUGGGAAACAACUGCAGGAAUGGGGCAAUGCAGGUUUCCCUAGGUAGGAGAUGCUGCAAGUGGCUCAGGGGCUGCUGAAGACACAGCUAAGACGGCAUACACCCGGAAACCAACUGGUGAUGCAUGAUGAGCUUGUGCUAAGGGAGGGGACAAGGUCUUUCCUUCACCUUUAUGGGUGGAAUGAAGCAAAGAGAGAAAAAAAAGGAGGUCAAAGUGCUACCUUGCCAGGAUGGGCUACAAAUGAAAUGCAGACCCCUCUGUCAAGAUCUCUGGGAGUUCUCUGGAAAGCAGGGCAGAUCUAGAACUGGCCAGCGGUUCUGAUUUGGCCGGAGAUAGAAGUCCCUUUUCUUAUGACCAGAAAGCGUAAACAAUCUUGUGUAAACAGCAGGAACCCUUAGGUUCCUUGUAAGUGCUCUAAUUAGUUGUAGGACUCCCUAAGAACUAGAUUCCACAGGAUAAUGGCACAAGGAUCACCUGUUUCUCAUAUUACACCAAUACAUUCUAUAGAAUGUAUCAGAACUGGCAUUGAGCUGGACUAAAACCACCGACUCAAGCUCAACC
ensembl:lncRNA